GGGUAUUUAUACAAUACAUCGAAAUACUAAAAUUCUAAUCAAAAUGAAUAAUAAAAAUAGGAUCGAUGACUACUUAAAGGCCCACUUACAUGAUGUAAGCGAUACUUAUGGGCCCCAGUGGGUUGUAACUGUCAGAAAAUCUCCAGAUCAUCAGAAUGCUACCCACGAUGGUACUUACAGCGGAGUAAGUGGUAAUUAUGCCCCGUAAGUGACCUCAUAACUUUCAGGCAAAGUAUUCAAUUUCAGAACCUUGAAUCUCUCAAACUUUUGUGGCCACUAACGGUGGCCGUAAGUGGCACUUUCAUGUUGUAAGUGCCCUCCGUCAAUUUUAGAAUAAAUUUUAACUUUUAGCUUCUCAGGACUAUCUCCUCUAAGAGUUACGAGACCACUUACGGUGGUCAUAAGUGGAACUUACGACCCAUAAGUGGUCUGCUAAGUAGGGCUUUCUACAAAAUUCAACUUUUUUUCUUCUUUUAAUCUCCAAAAGCUAGUUUGCUGCAAACAUAAACACAAAAACACAUCAUAUCUAUCAAAAUAGACCUAAGUACAUGUAUAUUUUAAGGUUUUAAGCAUCGAAAGUGCCAUGAAACUAUAACACAUCAGUAAUAAAUCUCAGGGAUACAAUUAAGUACAGAAUACAAGUCAACUCAAAUCUCAGUAAAACACACCAGAGAACUCAAGUCUCAUAGAAAACCUUAUAUAUUCUUUUGAAGAAGAAUUUAUUCAAUAUUGAAACUUCGGGAUCAUUUCUUUGGAAUUAUUCAUUGGAUUAAUCAUUUUGUAUCACUUUUUUAUAAGUUUCUUUAUUAUUAUUAUUAUUAUUAUUAUUAUUAUUAUUUUAGUACUACUAGUAUUACUACUGCUGCCGCCACUGCUGUUGCCGCCACCACUGUUGUUGCUGUCGCCGCUGCUAUUGUUGAUGCUGCUACUGCUGCUGCUCCUGCUCCUGUUGCUGCUAUCAGUAUUCAACUUUGGCCAAAUUGCUU
rnacentral:lncRNA from 1 species